GGGGUUGCAUGGGGGAAAUUGAAAGGGCAAUUGAAAAUCAUUGAGCUCAAAAGUUGUUAAAGAAAAAUACAUGAGAAAAAGAAAAAAAAAAAAGAAAAAGCAUGAAGAUGAGCUCAGUGCAAAAGAAAAGGGGAAAAGUUGGGAAUGAGUGAGAUUGGUGAGGAAGAGAGUUGUUCUUGAAUGUUGAAUAUUAUGAUAGCUCUCUUAACUCAAGGACUUUG
rnacentral:lncRNA from 1 species